GACGAACGCUGGCGGCGUGCUUAACACAUGCAAGUCGAACGGAAAGGCCCUGCUUUUGUGGGGUGCUCGAGUGGCGAACGGGUGAGUAACACGUGAGUAACCUGCCCUUGACUUUGGGAUAACUUCAGGAAACUGGGGCUAAUACCGGAUAGGAGCUCCUGCUGCAUGGUGGGGGUUGGAAAGUUUCGGCGGUUGGGGAUGGACUCGCGGCUUAUCAGCUUGUUGGUGGGGUAGUGGCUUACCAAGGCUUUGACGGGUAGCCGGCCUGAGAGGGUGGCCGGCCACAUUGGGACUGAGAUACGGCCCAGACUCCUACGGGAGGCAGCAGUGGGGAAUAUUGCACAAUGGGCGGAAGCCUGAUGCAGCAACGCCGCGUGCGGGAUGGCGGCCUUCGGGUUGUAAACCGCUUUCGCCUGUGACGAAGCGUGAGUGACGGUAAUGGGUAAAGAAGCACCGGCUAACUACGUG
rnacentral:rRNA from 1 species